GUAUUCUCUCAAUCCUUGGGCCCUGAGUUAGGAGCUUCCUCAGUUACAUUAAAGGUUGAUGAGCUUGUAGUGACUAAGUGAAGUCCCUACAUUGUUAAAAUCAGAAGUUGGAUUCAUUUGCCUGACCAUAGCUGUCUAGAGCCAUGUGAGAUGCCUUAUCAUAUCUCACCUGGUCUUCAGUUGCCAUUCCUGAAGUGUGUAGAGCUCUCAAAUCCUACGUCUCUUCCUACCUGUGUCAGAUGACUGUUUCAGAGACUCUGUGGUAUCUCAGUUGGUUCCAGAUGCUUGCGUCUGGACAGCUGAAUCAAGACCUGAAAGUAAAUAGAGAAGACGUUAGAAUUUAUUACUUAGGAAAGAUACUUCAAUGUCUUCGAUGUUGGUAAUGCCGAAGAGCAGCAAUGUAGAAUGCAUGAACAGAGGAGUGGUUUUCGGUCAGCGUGAUCACAACUGUUAAGAGAUCCUAGUGCAACUCAGCCAGGGUCUACUGAUAAGCAUCAGCUCUACAUGAAGAGGAGGAACAGUAUCUUCUUCAUCAAAUUUAUCUGGAUGGGGAUAGGAAAAAUAGAAUGAAAACAAAUCCCAUGAUUCAAAAUGUCAUAAUGUUUUUUGGUCUUGGACAGCCUUAAAGCCAAAGAAGUUAAAAAAGAUUAAAGACAUUUGUGGGUGUGAGUACUCAGUAAACAGAGGUCUCUAAAAAAAGUGUCCUGAGCACAGAUUUGAGAAACUACUUCAAGACAUAAGACUGGAUAAAUGAAUACUCCAGAUUUAGUUUGGUAGAAUGUCAUCAUUUCAUGGUCAGUUGCUGAAGUAUAUCUGGAUGCCAUUUGGUUUGUCAUCUCCAUCCUGGUGUGUUCGUGGUCUCAGUAUGCUCUACCAUUACUCUCUAAGUACAUAUUUAAUGAGCACUGGGAUGUGGGAAAAGAGAAAGAGACUGCUUUGUAGCUGUGAAAAACUUCAACCUGGAACAUCAUGUAGCAUUGCCAUGGACUUUGCAUUCACUACCUUUUAUGUAAAGACACUAAAUAAAUCUACAUCUAGCACACAUGUAUAUCAAAUCCUUAGAGGAUUGUAUAGUUAUGAAGGAGUCCUAAUCAAACACUGUAAAAUGGCAACAGGAUGUUAGAAGUUUCCAGUGAUUUACAGUGGGGUUGACCCUAUUCCAAUUUAGAAGAAUGGAAAAACUGUCAUGGAGUGGAAUGUACAGGGGUCAGACUGGUGUCACUGCAGCACUGUUUGUGAUGAUCUCAUUUUCUUACAGAUUUAAACCAUUGGCAAGAACAACAGACAUCCUAAGUAAACAAAUAAAAGACCCAUAG
rnacentral:lncRNA from 7 species